UAUGUAAUAUCGGAGUUCCACUCCUGACUUACUACCACGGUUGUUUGUCCGAUUGUAACAUUCGUCUAAGAAGGAGAAGGAAAAAGAAAAAAAUGUCAACAAAUGAGAAACGAAGGUAUGUAGAAGGGGAAUCUAGAAGGGAGACGAAUCGACAAUCGCUUAGAGACGCUACGACGAAUCGUGAAUUCCGAUGUAAUCAAGCAUAUUUUGUUCUUUGGUCAAAUUCCGAUUCGAUAGAGUCGAACGUAAAGAGGAACCUGAGUCUAUCGCCAGGUGAUAGGCCACGUGAUUGACUUAUCUUGCUGUCGAGAAAGGAAAAACGGACGACGAACGUUGUUAUGCGAAGAAACGAAACGACAAACGACUCGACGCAGCACAGGUCUUUCGACUACUAAACCUUCCGCCCCGUCGCUUUCCACGAAUAUAACCAGCCACGCUUCUGAUGCUAUCACCGCUACUACUGCCAUUACCACUGCUACUACACCAACGGAGAUGGCAGUGUAAAAUCGACGGAUUCCACACUUUUUUCCGCUUUUUCCGAUGAAAAAUGUAAUUUAUCUUUGAUCAGGAUAUUCGAAAACAAAAGAAAGAAAAAAAUGGAGAUGUGGGGGCUUUGUUUCGGCACUUGGUGUUAGAGUUGAAAACAGAAGGUUUUAAUCUGCCUUUGUCAGCCCAAUCGAUAACCAGCCGCGUCGUUCUACAUAUAUAUAUAUAUAUCAUAGUAUAACAGUGCUACCAACGUGUUGCUCGAAAUACGGGUAGGAGAAUGCGCACUUUCGAUGUAUAUAUAGCUUGAAAAAGUGAAAAAUUCUAGUAACUAAAAAACCUCCUUGACCAUGCCUAUAUCUAUGAGAUAGAAAUUAAUCGAAGUAAUUCCUACUCGUUAUCUACUAAGUAGGCUUUGUCGAUUGUCGGUUACUUUAUCGACCGAGUAAGUACGCGUGUUAUCAACUCGCAGCAUUUAUUCGAAGGUACCCUCGUUCUAUGUCGGAGGAAACAUUCUCUUUAAAAUCAUAAGGUAAAUGUCAUGAUACAUAACGGGUUUGGGCAUUCAGCUCAUUUUGUUAUUAAUCAUUAAUUAUUCGAAUUGUGGACCGUGCGUAUAACGAGCUAUAAAAUAUAUUGGAUAGAUUGAAACAUUCCAUGUUCAAUUGUGAAGAUUAUAUUUAAGAAUAAUAAACGCUAAUUUGGUACAAAAUCUA